rnacentral:rRNA from 1 species
AAACUGCGAAUACCGGAGAAUGUUAUCACGGGAGACACACGGCGGGUGCUAACGUCCGUCGUGAAGAGGGAAACAACCCAGACCGCCAGCUAAGGUCCCAAAGUCAUGGUUAAGUGGGAAACGAUGUGGGAAGGCCCAGACAGCCAGGAUGUUGGCUUAGAAGCAGCCAUCAUUUAAAGAAAGCGUAAUAGCUCACUGGUCGAGUCGGCCUGCGCGGAAGAUGUAACGGGGCUAAACCAUGCACCGAAGCUGCGGCAGCGACGCUUAUGCGUUGUUGGGUAGGGGAGCGUUCUGUAAGCCUGUGAAGGUGUACUGUGAGGUAUGCUGGAGGUAUCAGAAGUGCGAAUGCUGACAUAAGUAACGAUAAAGCGGGUGAAAAGCCCGCUCGCCGGAAGACCAAGGGUUCCUGUCCAACGUUAAUCGGGGCAGGGUGAGUCGACCCCUAAGGCGAGGCCGAAAGGCGUAGUCGAUGGGAAACAGGUUAAUAUUCCUGUACUUGGUGUUACUGCGAAGGGGGGACGGAGAAGGCUAUGUUGGCCGGGCGACGGUUGUCCCGGUUUAAGCGUGUAGGCUGGUUUUCCAGGCAAAUCCGGAAAAUCAAGGCUGAGGCGUGAUGACGAGGCACUACGGUGCUGAAGCAACAAAUGCCCUGCUUCCAGGAAAAGCCUCUAAGCAUCAGGUAACAUCAAAUCGUACCCCAAACCGACACAGGUGGUCAGGUAGAGAAUACCAAGGCGCUUGAGAGAACUCGGGUGAAGGAACUAGGCAAAAUGGUGCCGUAACUUCGGGAGAAGG